GAGUUUGAUCCUGGCUCAGGACGAACGCUGGCGGCGCGCCUAACACAUGCAAGUCGAACGAGAGAGAAGGAGCUUGCUUCUUCGAUCGAGUGGCGAACGGGUGAGUAACGCGUGAGGAACCUGCCUCAAAGAGGGGGACAACAGUUGGAAACGACUGCUAAUACUGCAUAAGCCCACGGGUCGGCAUCGACCAGAGGGAAAAGGAGCAAUCCGCUUUGAGAUGGCCUCGCGUCCGAUUAGCUAGUUGGUGAGGUAAUGGCCCACCAAGGCGACGAUCGGUAGCCGGACUGAGAGGUUGAACGGCCACAUUGGGACUGAGACACGGCCCAGACUCCUACGGGAGGCAGCAGUGGGGGAUAUUGCACAAUGGGGGAAACCCUGAUGCAGCAACGCCGCGUGAGUGAUGACGGCCUUCGGGUUGUAAAGCUCUGUCUUCAGGGACGAUAAUGACGGUACCUGAGGAGGAAGCCACGGCUAACUACGUGCCAGCCGCCGCGGUAAUUC
rnacentral:rRNA from 1 species